CCUACGGGUGGCAGCAGUGGGGAAUAUUGCACAAUGGGGGAAACCCUGAUGCAGCAACGCCGCGUGAGUGAAGAAGUAUUUCGGUAUGUAAAGCUCUAUCAGCAGGGAAGAAGAUGACGGUACCUGAGUAAGAAGCCCCGGCUAACUACGGGCCAGCAGCCGCGGUAAUACGUAGGGGGCAAGCGUUAUCCGGAUUUACGGGGUGUAAAGGGAGCGUAGACGGCAUAGCAAGUCUGAAGUGAAAGCCCAAGGCUCAACCAUGGGACUGCUUUGGAAACUGUUACGCUAGCGGGCUGGAGAGGUAAGCGGACUUCCUCGUGUAGCGGUGCACUGCGUAGAUAUUAGGAAGACCACCAGUGGCGACGGCGGCUUACUGGACCGUACCUGACGUUGCGGCUC
rnacentral:rRNA from 1 species